AUGGGGGGAGAUCCAAUGUGGCGGAGAGCACCCAGCUCCCCGUGGCAGCUGCCAGGCGGUGCUGGUCCCUGUCUCUUCCACACUCCUGAGCAUCUUCUGCGACUCCAGAGCACCACCGGGAUGCAGGCAGAAGGCUUUGGGGUUGGCAGUUGCCAUAGGAAGGCGGCUCGUGCUGCUGUCCCCUUCCUGCUGCCAGCAGGAUUUGUGCCACCCCAAGGGUGCUGUGCAGCCCAGCCUUGUCCUGCUCGCCGCGAGGAUGCAAAAGGAGCUCAGAAAGUCCAAAGCAAGGGAUGAGGCAUCCGUCUGCCUGCUGCAUUUCUGAGAAAACAAUCAUUUUGGCAGAUAAAAACACAGUCGCAGAGCUGUACCGAGUGCCUACUGCCAGUCGUGGGGCUGGGGGGAAAAAAAUAAAAAAGCAGCAGAAGCAGAGGAAGAAGAAUUCAAUAUUUCUAUUUGUUCUUAUCCAAAUAAAUUGAGAUGUAUUUGUGGAAGUGUCAGAGAAGCCCGCAGGAAUGAAACUAUAAAAUAACACAGCUGCUUCAUGAGUCUAUGACAGACAGCAUAGAUUAAUGUACCGGCGUUUUUAUGGUCUGUUAACAACUGAUAUGGGUUUUAAAUAUAUUAUCUCCCAUUGUAUUGUCUGUCAUUUUAAAAACUGCUCAUGUCUAUUGUGUUUGCUUUUAAGAGGUGCUUAUGGAACAAUCAGCCAGUCGCUUCCCGAUCUCUCCUCUUUUUUCCUUCCUAGAUAUAUCAUCGGCUCUUUUUUUUUUUUCUCUCUUUUUUUCCCUCGAUAGGUUUUCCCCAGCACUUUCAUGGGCAAUUUAUUCCAGAAUCUAUCGAAGCCCCCUCGUGUUCCUUAAUUCCAGGUGCUUUAAAAAAAAAACUCUUCCACCUUCAUACCUGCUUAUCUCUGGGACGUGAGGGGACAGGGGCGAGGGGUUGGGAUGGAGCAGGGCUGGGAGAAAGCAGCUGGAGGGGCACGGAGGUGGGGGCUGGUGAUUCUCCGGCUGUGCUGUGGCCGUAUCCAGUCCCCUGCGGAUCCC
rnacentral:lncRNA from 1 species